ACUGACGCUGAGGCUCGAAAGCGUGGGGAGCAAACAGGAUUAGAUACCNUGGUAGUCCACGCCGUAAACGAUGAGUGCUAGGUGUUAGACCCUUUCCGGGGUUUAGUGCCGCAGCUAACGCAUUAAGCACUCCGCCUGGGGAGUACGACCGCAAGGUUGAAACUCAAAGGAAUUGACGGGGGCCCGCACAAGCGGUGGAGCAUGUGGUUUAAUUCGAAGCGACGCGAAGAACCUUACCAGGUCUUGACAUCCCUCUGACCGCUCUAGAGAUAGAGUUUUCCUUCGGGACAGAGGUGACAGGUGGUGCAUGGUUGUCGUCAGCUCGUGCCGUGAGAUGUUGGGUCAAGUCCCGCAACGAGCGCAACCCCUAUUGUUAGUUGCCAUCAUUCAGUUGGGCACUCUAGCGAGACUGCCGGUAAUAAACCGGAGGAAGGUGGGGAUGACGUCAAAUCAUCAUGCCCCUUAUGACCUGGGCUACACACGUGCUACAAUGGCUGGUACAACGAGUCGCAAGCCGGUGACGGCAAGCUAAUCUCUUAAAGCCAGUCUCAGUUCGGAUUGUAGGCUGCAACUCGCCUACAUGAAGUCGGAAUCGCUAGUAAUCGCGGAUCAGCACGCCGCGGUGAAUACGUUCCCGGGCCUUGUACACACCGCCCGUCACACCACGAGAGUUUGUAACACCCGAAGUCGGUGAGGUAACCUUUUAGGAGCCANCCGCCUAAGGU
rnacentral:rRNA from 1 species